rnacentral:sRNA from 1 species
ACCUCAGAAAUCGAUUGCCGCGUAGAACAUGGCGAACAAUCCGUCGAUCAGAAUCACGACGAAUAUGGAUUUGACGACGGAGGAGGUCACGCGCC